rnacentral:rRNA from 1 species
AACGAACGCUGGCGGCAUGCCUAACACAUGCAAGUCGAACGAGACCUUCGGGUCUAGUGGCGCACGGGUGCGUAACGCGUGGGAACCUGCCCUUAGGUUCGGAAUAACUCCCCGAAAGGGGUGCUAAUACCGGAUAAUGUCUUCGGACCAAAGAUUUAUCGCCUUUGGAUGGGCCCGCGUUGGAUUAGCUAGUUGGUGGGGUAAAAGCCUACCAAGGCGACGAUCCAUGGCUGGUCUGAGAGGAUGAUCAGCCACACUGGGACUGAGACACGGCCCAGACUCCUACGGGAGGCAGCAGUGGGGAAUAUUGGACAAUGGGCGAAAGCCUGAUCCAGCAAUGCCGCGUGAGUGAUGAAGGCCUUAGGGUUGUAAAGCUCUUUUACCCGGGAUGAUAAUGACAGUACCGGGAGAAUAAGCUCCGGCUAACUCCGUG